AGCUACAACUUUUUGGAAAUGUGCGGUAAAACUGUCUUCUGAGUAGAAGGGGAAAGGAAAACAAACUUCUAUGUGUCAAAAAAAAAAAAAAAAAAAACCCUCACAAUUUUUUUUUUCACAGCUUUUGGGACGGCGUAGAUGAAAAAAUCAUCAUAAAAAGAAGUCUCUUAAAAGAACAGAAUAUUUCCUACGUUCUGAGGCUACUGAUUUAGACUCAACAGCAACAAAGUUCUGAGCAGGCCUUAGAAAACAAGUGAAAUGGGAGAAGUGCACCAUUCCUCUGAUCAUUUUUGUGGCCCUUAUGUGGACUCAACAGGUCAAUGUCUUCUACUGGGGGGAUUCAAAACUGAGGAGAAAAUACUUUCCAGUGUAAAUGGACCUACUUGCUUUGACAAGAAAUAACCUGAAUAGAGUAUCACAGGUGCCAAUGCCUGUUGCAGCCACUGACCCUUCCACUUUCUUCCUCCAUCUCCAUUAGCCAUCCUCCUAAGAUAUGAAAUGCGUGUGUUCGGCAAAGAUCUUUUAAGAAAAUAUAGAAGCUAUUUCAGAGCUGAUUAUCUGAGGCAUCAACAACUGCACUUAUUCUCUCCUUACUGAAAGAGUUCUUUAUUUCUUGAAUGUCUUUUACUUAAAUAAUAAAGAAUAAGAG
ensembl:lncRNA